CGCGCCCCCCGCGCCUCGGCCGGAGGCGGCCGCAAAUUCCGGUGACCCCCGGCCCGCCCGGCCGGAGCCUCACCUCCUCCUCGCUCUCACUGCGGAAACACAGGCACGCGGCCCGCUUCUUGUAGCCGUCGCCGUCAUAGGAAACUUAACCAAAGGAUCCCACCCUUUCCUGGAAGACAAUGGUUGCAGUCAGGUGUUGGCUGGGCCUGCUGUCAUCUGAAGACUUGACGGAGCUGCAGGAUCCACUUCCAGUGUGGCUUCUCACAUGGCUGGCAGUUGGAAGGAGGCUCAGUGCCUUUUGGUGUGAACUUCUCCAUGGGGCCACCUGAGCCUCCUCACAACAUGGUUGGGUUCCUCCAAGAGCAAAUGAUACAAGAUUCCAAGACUGAAUGAACUGCAGUGCCUUUUAUGACCUGGCUUUGAAAGUCAUACUUUGUUAGUUCCACAGCUUCCUACUGAUCAUAUAAGUCAGCCUUAGUGUGGGAGAUUACACAUUAUACCAGAAGGCAAGGAUCACUGGGGCCAUAGUUGAAGCUGCCUAGCACACCUCUCAUAAAAUUUACCUGGGGGCACCUGGGUGGCUCAGUUGUUAAGCAUCUGCCUUCGGCUCAGGUCGUGAUCCCAGGGUCCUGGGAUUGAGCCCCGCAUCGGGCUCCCUGCUCCGCGAGAAGCCUGCUUCUCCCUCUCCCACUCCCCCUGCUUGUGUUCCCUCUCUGGCUGUGUCUCUCUCUCUCAAAUAAAUAAAUAAAAUCUUUUUUUUAAAAAUUAAUUAAAUAAAAUUUACCUGGCCUCUAGUUCAUUCAUCCAUUGCCCAUGUAUCCCAGGCAGCGUACCUAACAGAGGGGAAGGAGAUAAUUCUUAAGAAUAGGCUACCCUUCCAUAGAUGAUAGUGGGUGGUUACAGAUUUAAAUCAAAUAAUCUCUUCUUUAAAAUAUUUUAUUUUUAAGCAAUCUCUACACUCAACGUGGGGCUUGAACCCACAACCCUGAGAUCAAGCAUCACAUGCUGCACCAGCCAGGCA